CCUACGGGUGGCAGCAGUGAGGAAUAUUGGUCAAUGGACGGGAGCCUGAACCAGCCAAGUAGCGUGAAGGAUGACAGCCCUAUGGGUUGUAAACUUCUUUUAUAUGGGAAUAAAGUGUUCCACGUGUGGGAUUUUGUAUGUACCUUAUGAAUAAGGAUCGGCUAACUCCGUGCCAGCAGCCGCGGUAAUACGGAGGAUACGAGCGUUAUCCGGAUUUAUUGGGUUUAAAGGGAGCGUAGGCGGAUUCUUAAGUCAGGUGUUAAAGCUUGCGGCGCAACCGUAACAUUGCGGUUGAAACUGGCGGUCUUGAGUACGGGAGAGGUACGCGGAAUUCGUGGUGUAGCGGUGAAAUGCUUAGAUAUCACGAAGAACUCCGAUUGCGAAGGCAGCGUACCGGA
rnacentral:rRNA from 1 species